GAGGGGUGCAAGCGUUGUUCGGAAUCACUGGGCGUAAAGGGAGCGCAGGCGGAAGCUCAAGCGGAUUGUACAAUACCGGGGCCCAACCCCGGACCUGCAGUCCGAACUGGGUUUCUUGGAUAGUUCAGGGGCAAGCGGAAUUCCUGGUGUAGCGGUGGAAUGCGUAGAGAUCAGGAAGAACACCGAUGGCGAAGGCAGCUUGCUGGGGACUUAUCGACGCUCAUGCUCGAAAGUGCGGGUAGCAAACAGGAUUAGAUACCCUGGUAGUCCGCACCGUAAACGAUGCAUACUGGGUGUCCGCGGUUCGCCGCGGGUACCGUAGCCAACGCGUUAAGUAUGCCGCCUGGGGAGUACGUACGCAAGUAUG
rnacentral:rRNA from 1 species